UAUCCUGGUCCGUUUGGGAUGGUUGAG
rnacentral:piRNA from 1 species